rnacentral:rRNA from 1 species
AUUGAACGCUGGCGGCAUGCCUUACACAUGCAAGUCGAACGGUAACGGGCCUUCGGGUGCCGACGAGUGGCGAACGGGUGAGUAAUAUAUCGGAACGUACCUUUCAGUGGGGGAUAACGUAGCGAAAGUUACGCUAAUACCGCAUAUUCUGUGCGCAGGAAAGCAGGGGACCUUCGGGCCUUGCGCUGAUUGAGCGGCCGAUAUCAGAUUAGCUAGUUGGUGAGGUAAAGGCUCACCAAGGCGACGAUCUGUAGCGGGUCUGAGAGGAUGAUCCGCCCCACUGGAACUGAGACACGGUCCAGCCUCCUACAGGAGGCAGCAGUGGGGAAUUUUGGACAAUGGGGGCAACCCUGAUCCAGCCAUGCCGCGUGAGUGAAGGAGGCCUUCGGGUUGUAAAGCUCUUUCGGCCGGGAAGAAAUCGUAUGGGCUAAUACCCUGUGCGGAUGACGGUACCGGCAUAAGAAGCACCGGCUAACUACGUGCCAGCAGCCGCCGUAACAC